rnacentral:rRNA from 1 species
AGAGAGAGACAUGCGCGCAUAUCAAUAAGCGGAGGAAAAGAAACUAACAAGGAUUCCCUUAGUAACGGCGAGUGAAGCGGGAAGAGCUCAAAUUUGAAAUCUUCAAGGUUUUACCUUGACGAAUUGUAGUUUAAAGAAGUGUUUUCUGCUGAAGUUUUGGUAAAAGUUCUUUGGAAUAGGACAUCAUAGAGGGUGAGAAUCCCGUAUUUGACCAUUAUUUUCAGCUUUGUGAUACACUUUCAAAGAGUCGGAUUGUUUGGGAAUGCAGUCCAAAAUGGGUGGUAAAUUUCAUCUAAAGCUAAAUAUUGGCGAGAGACCGAUAGCGAACAAGUACCGUGAGGGAAAGAUGAAAAGAACUUUGAAAAGAGAGUUAAACAGUACGUGAAAUUGUCAAAAGGGAAGCGUUUGACACCAGUGUCGUUUUCUCGAAAAUCAAUUAAAAAUGGCUCGACUUUGUAUUGCUGAGACCUUAAAAGCUCACUGUACAUUUUUCGUGUCUUUUUUAAUGCACUUUUCGUUUAACAAGUCAACAUCAGUUUCUUUUGUUGUAAAAGGGUCAUUGGAAGGUGGCUUUCUUUUCGGAGAAAGUGUUUAUAGCCUUUGGCCUCUGCAAUCGGAAGAGACUGAGGUCUGCAGCGUAGACUCUUCGGGGUUAGAUACAUUUGUCGCUAAGUUAUAGCUUUUUAUAGACAACUUGUUGACUAUAAUUAGUCUUGUAGCUUACUCGCUUAUGCUAUUUUACCUACGCUUAGGAUGUUAAAGAUGUAGCACAUCAU